UACCCGCGGGAGACAGGCGUGAGUUUCUCGGGCUUUGUUCUCUACCGCGUCGGCAGUUUUGGGGUACUGCCGUUUUAUGGGCGGUAUCCCAAAACAGUUCAAAGGGGCAGUGCAAUUUGAGCGACAUAACUAAUUGUAAAAACGAGGCCCUUUUAGCUCUUGAAAGGAAAAAGCGCUCAAACCAUCCCCAAGCUGCGUGUUCCAGUGGAUGCACUCCCAGCACUGCCCAGCAAAGCGCUGUUCCUCCUCCCCGGUACACCUGCACGCUACCACGCCCUCAGGUGUUGCCGCGGAGUGACCACGCCCAUUCCAGGUAGACGUCCCCUGGUGGCCACGCCCCCUCCAGGUAGAUCGGAAAGAUGGCGGCCGGGGUAACACGGCUGUCUGAAUGUGAAGCCGGACUGACCCGCUAAGAACAGUGCAACCCGACUGCUAUUGGAUGCACACAAUCAAAAUUCCAAGGUUAAUCAUCGCUGCCUUGUAUUUGCAAAGGAUACGCUCAGGGUGAUCAUCUGCAGCGCCAGAUUAGUCACAAUGCAUCAGAAUGUUUGUUUGUAUCUUUUUUUCAAAUAAAGAUUGCAUUGAUUGAUUCA